rnacentral:lncRNA from 1 species
CCCCCUUCUACAAAAUCCCUGCAGCCCCACACACACAUUUACAGGCAGACAGUCACACACUCAGUUACAGACAGACAGUCACACACUCAGUUACAGGCAGACAGUCACAUACAGUCACAGGCAGACAGUCACACAUACACAUUUCCUCCGUGCGGCCAGUUUAUCAGCUGUUUGCUUGUGUGAGCUGUACACGGCACCCUAACUACCAUGGGACACUGUGCGGCCACAGCUCACACAGCCCCCUCCAGCCAGG